GAGUAGAGGUUGCGCGAAUCAUGAGUAAGCGGUCCGAUGCGGCAGGCGCAGGGGAAGACGGCAGAAAGGGAGAGCGCCGAAGAGGAGUACCGCCUGACAGUACGAAUCUGGGCACAGGGCGAACAGGUCUGUGACUGUCAUCCGGAUGGGAUGGGGAGCUACUUAA
rnacentral:ncRNA from 1 species